UCUUGUUUCUCCCUGCUCCUUUCUUUUCUCUGUUCUUUUUUUUUUUCUCUCGUUUCUGUCCUGUUUCCGUGAGAGCUCUAGAGCAGGACAGGAACAUGCGUGUGGUGCAG
rnacentral:ribozyme from 11 species